rnacentral:lncRNA from 1 species
UCGUUUUUUUAAAAACAAAAAUAGAAAUUGUUUUGUAUUUGAAUUAUAAUUUAUGUUGAUCGACGAUAGGUGAUUCCAAAUCAAUGGUGUUGAUCUUUGAUGCGGUAGCGAGGGGUGAACCUGUAAGGUUAACACUUCAACGUCAAAGUUAAUUCAGAAUCCAAAAUGAGUAUAGUGAAAACGGAGACCAAAAAGUGUACCUUGAAUCUUGCAU